rnacentral:tRNA from 1 species
UAGGAUGUAGCACAGUGGUGCAGUGUGCUUGCUUACCAUGCAUGAGGCCCAGGGUUCAAUACCCAGCAUUCAAA